AUCAUGUCUUGCGAGACACAGUGUCCUGUUACUCUCCACAAACCUCAAUGUCAGGACUAUUUCCUCAAUAGAAAGUAGGUCCAAAGGAAACUGUUCACAGUGUGUUCUGUAGUUUGUUUUGAAAAACACAUACACUGUUUCCGUGA